rnacentral:rRNA from 1 species
UACGUAGGGUGCGAGCGUUGUCCGGAAUUAUUGGGCGUAAAGAGCUUGUAGGCGGUUUGUCGCGUCUGCUGUGAAAUUUCGGGGCUCAACCCCGAACUUGCAGUGGGUACGGGCAGACUAGAGUGUGGUAGGGGAGACUGGAAUUCCUGGUGUAGCGGUGAAAUGCGCAGAUAUCAGGAGGAACACCGAUGGUGAAGGCAGGUCUCUGGGCCACUACUGACGCUGAGAAGCGAAAGCAUGGGGAGCGAACAGG